rnacentral:antisense_RNA from 1 species
CUUGACCGAGCCGAGCCACAGCGGUUGCCCCGCCCGACCGUGCCCGUAGGCGGCCAGCAGCGCCUGCGCCUC